AUUGAUGAUGCAAGACAGAGAAGAAAGUGAAAGAGUCCAGAUUUUAAGUGGUGAGAAGAAUGGAGCCAGGCAGCAGAGGAGAGACUGGCCUGGGGCAGAGACAGAUGCUUCAGAAAAUUCUCACUGAGAAGAAUGUGGAGAGAGGGACCUUUGAGAAGACAGGAAACAUUAUGAAAUUAUCAUCUGAAACGGCUGUAUUGUGUCAGGAAUAUCACCUCACACCCACAGGAUCCUGUAGCCACUGUCUCCUAAAGUCUCAGGCCCAGAGACGCCCACAUAAGACCCCCACAUACCUUGAGCAAGUGAGGCAACUGCUGAGUGACCAGUUCCCUAAACUCAUGGAUGCUGAGGCUGCCCUUCCGGCCCUCCUGCCCUGCAAAGGUGAAGAAGGUGGUGACCACUGUCUCAAUGGCGGCCUCCAGCUCCGUCAGGGGCUCCGCUGCCAUCAGGACUCUGCAGGACAGGAAAGGAGGGAAAGGCAGAGUCAGAACAGACCCAAGGGAGGGAUCCCUGGGUGGCGCAGCGGUUUGGCGCCUGCCUUUGGCCCAGGGCGCGAUCCUGGAGACCCGGGAUCGAAUCCCACGU